rnacentral:rRNA from 1 species
UACGGGGGGGGCAAGCGUUGUUCGGAAUUACUGGGCGUAAAGGGCUCGUAGGCGGCCAACUAAGUCAGACGUGAAAUCCCUCGGCUUAACCGGGGAACUGCGUCUGAUACUGGAUGGCUUGAGUUUGGGAGAGGGAUGCGGAAUUCCAGGUGUAGCGGUGAAAUGCGUAGAUAUCGAGGAGGAACACCGGUGGCGAAGGCGGGUCUCUGGGCCGAUACUGACGCUGAGGAGCGAAAGCGUGGGGAGCGAACAGG